AAAAAAGUUCAAAAUACAAAUAAGUUAUUACUCUCAUUUCUAAUGUAUUUGAAACAUUUGAAUUUUAUUUUGAAUUGUGAUUGAUAUUUUUAAUUUUUACCAUUAAUAUUAUUAAAUUAUAUAUAUAAUAUUAUUAAAAAUUAUUAAUUUAUAUUUUACAAAAUAUUAAUAAUAUUAUAAUUUUAUAAAAAAUAUUAGUUGACGGGACGGAUUCGGGGCGCCGGCGGUAGGCGGGUUACGAGACGGGACGAAUUAUGAGAUGUAUUUUUUAAUCCGUUACGGAUUUAGGGCGGGAGGCGGGGCAGAAUUUUGCUAGUCGGGGCGGGAGGCGGGGCGGGUCUUCCGCCCCCAGAUCCGUCCCGUUUGCAUCCCUAUCAAUUACUAUUAGCUUCCGCAAAAUUCUGACAUGUCACGUAUACCAAUCUAUACAAUCUUACUAUUUGGGACUACUAUUCUGCCACGUGGCAGCCUCUCAUUCCCCCUCC
rnacentral:lncRNA from 1 species